CUACGGGGUGCUGUAGUGGGGAAUUUUGGACAAUGGGGCAACCCUGAUCCAGCCAUGCCGCGUGAGUGAAGAAGGCCUUCGGGUUGUAAAGCUCUUUCAGCCGGGAAGAAAUCGCAUGGGCCAAUACCCUGUGCGGAUGACGGUACCGGAAUAAGAAGCACCGGCUAACUACGUGCCAGCAGCCGCGGUAAUACGUAGGGUGCGAGCGUGAAUCGGAAUUACUGGGCGUAAAGCGUGCGCAGGCGGAUGCUUAAGUCAGAUGUGAAAUCCCCGGGCUUAACCUGGGAAUUGCAUUUGAAACUGGGUGUCUAGAGUGCGUCAGAGGGGGGUGGAAUUCCACGUGUAGCAGUGAAAUGCGUAGAUAUGUGGAGGAACACCAAUGGCGAAGGCAGCCCCCUGGGAUGACACUGACGCUCAUGCACGAAAGCGUGGGGAGCAAACAGGAUUAGAUACCCUGGUAGUC
rnacentral:rRNA from 1 species